UAGGGAAUCUUCGGCAAUGGACGGAAGUCUGACCGAGCAACGCCGCGUGAGUGAAGAAGGUUUUCGGAUCGUAAAGCUCUGUUGUUAGAGAAGAACGUUGGUAGGAGUGGAAAAUCUACCAAGUGACGGUAACUAACCAGAAAGGGACGGCUAACUACGUGCCAGCAGCCGCGGUAAUACGUAGGUCCCGAGCGUUGUCCGGAUUUAUUGGGCGUAAAGCGAGCGCAGGCGGUUCUUUAAGUCUGAAGUUAAAGGCAGUGGCUUAACCAUUGUACGCUGUGGAAACUGGAGGACUUGAGUGCAGAAGGGGAGAGAGGAAUUCCAUGUGUAACGGUGAAAUGCGUAGAUAUAUGGAGGAACACCGGUGGCGAAAGCGGCUCUCUGGUCUGUAACUGACGCUGAGGCUCGAAAGCGUGGGGAGCAAACAGG
rnacentral:rRNA from 1 species